CUGCUGAGCCCAAGAAAUGUGGGGCUUCUGGCAGACACAAGGCCAAGGGAGUGGGACUUGCUGCUAUUCUUGCUACGGGAGCUGGUGGAGAAGGGUCUGAUGGGACGGAUGGAGAUAGAGGCCUGCCUGGGCAGCCUCCACCAGGCCCAGUGGCCAGGGGUAAGGAGUCUCCUGUCUUUUAGGUGGAGAGAGAACAGGUGUUACAUAUCCCAUCUGUCCUGAAAGGAAGCAAGUGAUGGGGCCAAACUAAGUGGAUUUUUGUCAAGAGUCUUCAGGGCCACCCUGAAAUUGUCCCGAUUUGAGUAGUUAUUAUAUGAGGGACUGUGUUAGUGGGAAGACGGACGAAAGGCAGGCAGUUAGUUGGAAAGCAGCACAGCCCAUUAUAUGGGUUUUUAAAAUUAGAAUAAC
rnacentral:lncRNA from 1 species